rnacentral:rRNA from 1 species
UGGGGAAUAUUGCACAAUGGGGGAAACCCUGAUGCAGCGACGCCGCGUGAACGAAGAAGGUAUUCGUAUCGUAAAGUUCUGUCCUAUGGGAAGAUAAUGACAGUACCAUAGAAGAAAGCUCCGGCUAAAUACGUGCCAGCAGCCGCGGUAAUACGUAUGGAGCGAGCGUUGUCCGGAAUUAUUGGGCGUAAAGGGUACGCAGGCGGUUUAAUAAGUCGAAUGUUAAAGAUAGGGGCUCAACCCCGUAAAGCAUUGGAAACUGAUAAACUUGAGUAGUGGAGAGGAAAGUGGAAUUCCUAGUGUAGUGGUGAAAUACGUAGAUAUUAGGAGGAAUACCAGUAGCGAAGGCGACUUUCUGGACACAAACUGACGCUGAGGUACGAAAGCGUGGGGAGCAAACAGG